UGGGGAAUUUUGGACAAUGGGCGCAAGACUGAUCCAGCCAUGCCGAGUGUCUGAAGAAGGCAUUCGGGUUGUAAAGGACUUUUGUCAGGGAAGAAAAGGGCGGGGUUAAUACCCCUGUCUGAUGACGGUACCUGAAGAAUAAGCACCGGCUAACUACGUGCCAGCAGCCGCGGUAAUACGUAGGGUGCGAGCGUUAAUCGGAAUGACUGGGCGUAAAGCGGGCGCCGACGGUUACUUAAGCAGGAUGUGAAAUCCCCGGGCUCAACCUGGGAACUGCGUUCUGAACUGGGUGACUAGAGUGUGUCAGAGGGAGGUAGAAUUCCACGUGUAGCAGUGAAAUGCGUAGAGAUGUGGAGGAAUACCGAUGGCGAAGGCAGCCUCCUGGGAUAACACUGACGUUCAUGCCCGAAAGCGUGGGUAGCAAACA
rnacentral:rRNA from 1 species